GACGAACGCUGGCGGCGUGCUUAACACAUGCAAGUCGAACGGAAAGGCCCUGCUUUUGUGGGGUGCUCGAGUGGCGAACGGGUGAGUAACACGUGAGUAACCUGCCCUUGACUUUGGGAUAACUUCAGGAAACUGGGGCUAAUACCGGAUAGGAGCUCCUGCUGCAUGGUGGGGGUUGGAAAGUUUCGGCGGUUGGGGAUGGACUCGCGGCUUAUCAGCUUGUUGGUGGGGUAGUGGCUUACCAAGGCUUUGACGGGUAGCCGGCCUGAGAGGGUGACCGGCCACAUUGGGACUGAGAUAGGGCCCGGACUCCUACGGGGGGCAGCAGGGGGGAAUAUUGCAAAAUGGGCGGAAGCCUGAUGCAGCAACGCCGCGUGCGGGAUGACGGCCUUCGGUUUGUAAACCGCUUUCGCCUGUGACGAAGCGUGAGUGACGGUAAUGGGUAAAGAAGCACCGGCUAACUACGUG
rnacentral:rRNA from 1 species